GGAUGUGAGGGCGAUCUGGCUGUGACAUCUGUCACCCUACUGACCCCCAGGGUUGAUUCAGCUGAUCUGGAUGGCCAGGCGGGUGUCCCCUUCCUCCCCCACAACUCCAUAUACAUCCCUCCCAAAGCUGCACACUUGGUUGAAGAGGAUGACCUUCCCCAAUGGAGGAGGACCAGUCUUCAGUCAAGGGUACAGGAGUAGCUGCGCUCCCCUCUAGAACCUCCAAACAAGCCCCCAAAAGGACAUCUGGAAAAUAAAGAAACAUGCAUAUGGCUAAUCAUCAGAGAAACACAAUCUGAAACAUUGUGAUAUCAC
rnacentral:snRNA from 1 species